rnacentral:sRNA from 12 species
CGUUAAGAGAUCGCCUCUGUCGUUACUUGCAAUUGCAAAUACGGGAAUGUGAUUGUUGA